UUGGUCUACGUUGCGAUGCAAUAAAUUUUUUUACUCGAUUAUCUAUAUUUUGGAAACCAGAAUUCGUCACGAAUAAUUUUGAAAAUGCACGAUGUUUUUACACACAAAAGUAUUUCCCCGAGUAUCGUGUUAUUGAUAAUCUAUCAGAAUACAUGUCUGUAAGACCAGUCGCAAUAACAAUUACAAAGAUGUUGAAGUUAACAAGAGAUAUCGUUAGAGAAUUUAUAAUACAACAUAAAAUUAAGAAAAUGCGAUUAAUCCGGAUUAAUUGCAUUAUCCAACAACUUCCGAUAUGAUUAAAAUGUAUUGUAAUCAUAUUAUGAUGAUAGGUAUCAUGAGCACAAG